GCCCGGCUAGCUCAAUCGGCAGAGCGUGAGACUCUUCAUCGCAAGUUUGCGGGUUGGACCUCCGCGUUGGGCU